UUGCCCUGAAACCCUCUUUAACAUGAGAACCCGCUUAUUUCUUUUAGCAUUUGGGCAACACCUUACAACAGCAUAAGCCCUGCUUUGCAGUCAGCCACUUUAAAUGCUGCAUUAGCAAGAAAAACUUACCUCUGUUCACUGACACCUCUCCAGGCUCUUACCAAGGAGAACAGAGAGUCUCGGACUCCCUUUAACAAGGGUGGACACUGAAUUGACACACAGGUGACUCGGCCAAGAUCUUUAGGAGGAGAAGCAGCAGCAGAGCUGGAAGAUGUUGUAAGUCCCAUCCCAGUGACCUUACCUAAGAACAGAACAGAAACAGAAGUUACGUGCAUGUUGCAAAAGGUGUAGAAGACUGAAGAAAAGAGGAAGGUCAAAUCCAGGAUGCAAGGCAGCGUGAUGUUCAGAUCUCCCUCCCGUCCCACAUGUCACUUACAGUGUCUGCCAGCCCAUCCCAGCCUACACGCCCACCACGGUGGAGUGUUCAGGAUGUUUGCCAUUGUCCUUGAAAAAGCAGAGCUCUAAAAAUGUGAGGUUUUAAUUUUUCCCAAAUAUUUGCACUGGGGAAAGGGGAUGCCAAGCUUAAAAUCCAAAAGGCCUCGGGUACCUGCACCCCCUAGGAGCUAAAAAUCCACACGAGUCUCCUACAAUGAUCAAAGACUAAAAGAAAAAACAUCCCAAAUGGAAGCACAGCACAGAACUGUCCCAGCACUGCUGCUCCUUAAUGCUUGCUGCCCAUUUCCCACCGCCUCCCAUGGGACAACAUCCCCUGUAUUGGGAAGACCAUGGGGAAAAUCUGCCGGGCCUCAUGUACCUGCACUAAGGAGCUAAAAUCCACAGAAGUCUCUGUAAAGAUCCACCCAGGCCGGAAGAACAAACACCUUUCCAUGCCUGGGCGAUGCUUACGUGGUCCUUCUCGCACCGAGCUCUUCAUGCUGAGCCGUCUCCUUUGGUUUCCCGGUCCGUGCGCGGUGUCUCUCGUGCCUUGAUCACAAUCCUGAAGUCCAGAGGGGUGAAAAUACUCGGUAUUCCCGGAGAAAGGCAAUCCCUGCCCAGUGAAGCAGCGCGGUUGCUGGGCUGCUGCUGCCAUCUUCUGCCCGCCUGGAACUCCGCCGCUCGCAGCUGCCCCCGCCUCGGCCCAGGCCGGGGGAAAGGCGCUGAGGAAAACGCACGGGGGUUCAGGAACGGGCUCGUGGUCCCUCAUGGGCCAGUGUGGGGGCAGAUCCAGGGAAGCAGAGGAAGUGGUGUGACUGGCGCUAAAGCUGCGGCAGCAGAGAGUGUCGUUGAUCAGAAGGUAAGGAUACAAAGCCAUUGUUUUCCAGAACUGCAAGGACUUUUGUCUCUUUGUUCAGGGCUUUAGUUC
rnacentral:lncRNA from 1 species